rnacentral:tRNA from 1 species
CUGGAAAGCUCAGCCGGUAGCGCAUCAGAAUUUUAAUCUGAUGGUCCAUGGUUUAAGUCCCUGUUUGUAGG